rnacentral:rRNA from 1 species
GAUGAACGCUGGCGGCGUGCCUAAUACAUGCAAGUCGAGCGAACGGACGAGAAGCUUGCUUCUCUGAUGUUAGCGGCGGACGGGUGAGUAAAACGUGGAUAACCUACCUAUAAGACUGGGAUAACUUCGGGAAACCGGAGCUAAUACCGGAUAAUAUUUUGAACCGCAUGGUUCAAAAGUGAAAGACGGUCUUGCUGUCACUUAUAGAUUGAUCCGCGCUGCAUUAGCUAGUUGGUAAGGUAACGGCUUACCAAGGCAACGAUGCAUAGCCGACCUGAGAGGGUGAUCGGCCACACUGGAACUGAGACACGGUCCAGACUCCUACGGGAGGCAGCAGUAGGGAAUCUUCCGCAAUGGGCGAAAGCCUGACGGAGCAACGCCGCGUGAGUGAUGAAGGUCUUCGGAUCGUAAAACUCUGUUAUUAGGGAAGAACAUAUGUGUGAGUAACUGUGCACAUCUUGACGGUACCUAAUCAGAAAGCCACGGCUAACUACGUG